CGAAGUGAUGACGGGAAGCAGAAAGCCGAGAACAAGGCUCAUGAGGCAGAACAGUCUCCAAAGAAGGCCAAGUCUGAUGGUGACAACGGCUAUACAAAUGGAAAGUCCUCACAGAAUGUAGUUGCUGAGUAUGAGAAGCUCUGCACAGAGGUCAAAGACAACCUUUCGACCAAACAGAUGCGCGAAAUCUUGGAAGCUAAUGGCCAGGGCUCAUCCGGCUCUGGUGCCGCUAUUCUCCGAAAAUGACAGCCAAGACUUGCUGUUAUAUGGUCCACUAGAUAAAUGUCCAGCAUGCGAUGGCGAUUUGAAGUUCGAUGGGAUACGCUAUUCUUGUACUGGAUUUUAUAGUGAGUGGGCAACUUGUACAUUUGUCACAAAGGAUCCACCAAGGAAACAAGAGCCAAUCAAGUUGCCAGAUAGUGUCCUCAGCUCUCCUGUAUCCUAUUUGCUAAAGAAUUAUGAAGUCCCAAGUCGCCGGCCUCGUAAGGUUUUAAGCAUGCCAGAUAAGCCUUUUACUGGGAUGAUGAUGUCACUCAUGGGCCGUCUUAGUGCAUCUCAUGUAUGUAACCUGCGGUCAUGUUGUCUUACUGCAUUUGCCAAUAUACGGUGCUCACUGAUUAUGUAUUAAUAUUUGCAGCAAUACUGGAGAAAAAAAAUGGAAAAACAUGGAGGAAAAGUUGCCAACCAUGUGAUUGGUGUAACUUGCCUGAUUGCAUCCCCUGCGGAGAGAGACAGAAGUGGCACGGGUAAACUAGCCGAAGCAAUGUGCGUAAUGAUUUCUCUCUUUGGCCCUAAGCAUUGAACAUUUCUCUCGAGUUAUGCAAUAGGUCUUCUUGAGUGUGUUGCUAUUAUUGCUUCCCAUAAGGAGGAUGGUAUAUGUGGAUGUCGUUUCUACAAUGUCCAUUAAUUCGGUCCCCUUUUAGUUCCGCAAUGAGAGUAGCAAUGUUAUUGAGAAUAGCAGUCUUCUAGAAUUUUAAUUUGAAAGUAUGACUCGAGAGUUCUGAUCUUUUGCUGGGAAAGAGGCAUUCCUGUAGUAAGCGAAGCAUGGCUGAAAGACAGCAUCGAGAAACAAGAACCCCAGCCUCUUGAAGCAUAUGACAUUGUUAGUGAUCUUGCUCCCGAUGGUAGAGGAGUUCCAUGGGACAAAAUGGAUCCAAGCAAAGAGGCACUUGAGUCCCUUUCAACAGAAGUACCGAAUUUUUCCCUCAAAGAUAUCUAUAGACUCCGUUUGAAAUUUCAUGUUUGUAUUUAUAGCUGUAAUCACAACAAUAUCGUAUUGACUGCAGCUGAAGAUGUAUGGGAAGAGAAGUGUCCACAAGGAUAGUAAAUUGCAGGAGCAAGGCGGGAAAAUCUUUGAGAAAGAUGGCAUAUUGUACAACUGCGCUUUUUCUCGUUGUGAUAUAGGCAGAAAACUGAAUGAGUAAAUUAGACCUCCUCUUCAUCUAUCUGAAGUUAGAUGUGAUGAUGUCAAGUAGCCUUAAUUUUCAUGUUUCUUCUGCAGUUAUUGCAUCAUCCAACUUAUUACAGUACCAGAGAGCAACCUAAAUUUGUACUACAAGAAAGGGAAAGUUGGCGAUGACCCCAAUGCUGAGGAAAGGCUUGAAGAGUGGGAUAUUGUGGACGACCCUGUCAAGGAGUUUGUGAGGCUCUUUGAGGAAGCAACUGGAAAUAAGUUUGAACCAUGGGAAAGAAAGAAGAAAAUCCAGAAGAAGCCAUUGAAGUUUUACCCUAUAGACAUGGUAGCGCUACUCAUUUCCUUUUGUAUGCAGUGUUAUUCUGCCAUAUGAAAUGUUUGUUAUUCUGAACAGGAUGUGAGGCAGGGAUGGCUUGGGCUUCGCCAAUUGGGAUUUGCUGCCGCACAUUGCAAACUUGAGUCGAUGGUUGCAAAUUUCAUGAAGGUUUUAUGCAGUCAAGAGAUUCACAAGUAUGGUUCGGUUUCCAGUUAUUUGACUAUCUCUUGUCUUUUUACUCUGAAGUCCUCAAACCAGCUGUUUCAAAUGUAGAUAUGCUUUGAUGGAGAUGGGAUAUGACCCACCCGAACUUCCAAUGAGGAUGCUUUCCGACGUCCAUCUAAAACGAUGUAAGGAACUUCCUCGAACACGUGCCCUUGUCCCCCCUUUGACGUACUGAAAAAGGUGUGCAUUCAGGUGAGGAGGUUCUCCAGAAUUUCGUGGAGACACUGAAAUCAAUAAAGGAUGCAGUGCCGAAGGCUGUGGCUGUCUGGUCAGAUUUUAGCCAUGGUUCACCCUCAUGCACUCUACUAGGCCUUUUAUCUUCAAGGACCAUCAGGAACUUGCA